CCUACGGGAGGCAGCAGUGGGGAAUAUUGGGCAAUGGGCGCAAGCCUGACCCGGCAACGCCGCGUGAAGGAAGAAGGCUUUCGGGUUGUAAACUUCUUUUCUCAGGGACGAAGAAAGUGACGGUACCUGAGGAAUAAGCCACGGCUAACUACGUGCCAGCAGACGCGGUAAUACGUAGGUGGCAAGCGUUCUACGGAUUGAUUGGGUGUAAAGGGCGUGUAGGCGGGAGCGCAAGUCAGAUGUGAAAACUCAGGGCUCAACCCUGAGCCUGCAUUUGAAACUGUGUUUCUUGAGUGCUGGGGAGGCAAUCGGAAUUCCGUGUGUAGCGGUGAAAUGCGUAGAUAUACGGAGGAACACCAGUGGCGAAGGCGGAUUGCUGGACAGUAACUGACGCUGAGGCGCGAAAGCGUGGGGAGCAAACAGGAUUAGAUACCCCGGGUAGUC
rnacentral:rRNA from 1 species